CCUGGCGGAGCUUGAUAGUUAAGCAUCUCUUUUACACAGAGCUGAUAUUUGUGCAAAUCAAAUUGCCUUGA
rnacentral:tRNA from 1 species